AGCGAGUCUUAACUGGGCGCUCAGUCUCUGGAUAUAGACCCGAAACCGGGUGAUCUAGCCAUGGGCAGGUUGAAGGUUGAGUAACAUCAACUGGAGGACCGAACCGACUAAUGUUGAAAAAUUAGCGGAUGACUUGUGGCUAGGGGUGAAAGGCCAAUCAAACUCGGAGAUAGCUGGUUCUCCCCGAAAGCUAUUUAGGUAGCGCCUCGGACGAAUACUACUGGGGGUAGAGCACUGUUAAGGCUAGGGGGUCAUCCCGACUUACCAACCCUUUGCAAACUCCGAAUACCAGUAAGUACUAUCCGGGAGACACACGGCGGGUGCUAACGUCCGUCGUGGAGAGGGAAACAACCCAGACCGCCAGCUAAGGUCCCAAAGUAUUGCUAAGUGGGAAACGAUGUGGGAAGGCUCAGACAGCUAGGAUGUUGGCUUAGAAGCAGCCAUCAUUUAAAGAAAGCGUAAUAGCUCACUAGUCGAGUCGGCCUGCGCGGAAGAUGUAACGGGGCUAAGCAAUACACCGAAGCUGCGGCAAUGUCUUUUAGACAUUGGGUAGGGGAGCGUUCUGUAAGCCGUUGAAGGUGAAUCGUAAGGUUUGCUGGAGGUAUCAGAAGUGCGAAUGCUGACAUGAGUAACGACAAAGGGGGUGAAAAACCUCCUCGCCGGAAGACCAAGGGUUCCUGUCCAACGUUAAUCGGGGCAGGGUGAGUCGACCCCUAAGGUGAGGCCGAAAGGCGUAAUCGAUGGGAAACGGGUUAAUAUUCCCGUACUUCUGACUAUUGCGAUGGGGGGACGGAGAAGGCUAGGUGGGCCAGGCGACGGUUGUCCUGGUUCAAGUGCGUAGGCUUGAGAGUUAGGUAAAUCCGGCUCUCUCUAAGGCUGAGACACGACGUCGAGCUACUACGGUAGUGAAGUCAUUGAUGCCAUGCUUCCAGGAAAAGCCUCUAAGCUUCAGAUAGUCAGGAAUCGUACCCCAAACCGACACAGGUGGUCGGGUAGAGAAUACCAAGGCGCUUGAGAGAACUCGGGUGAAGGAACUAGGCAAAAUGGUACCGUAACUUCGGGAGAAGGUACGCUCUUGAUGGUGAAGUCCCUCGCGGAUGGAGCUGACGAGAGUCGCAGAUACCAGGUGGCUGCAACUGUUUAUUAAAAACACAGCACUGUGCAAAAUCGCAAGAUGACGUAUACGGUGUGACGCCUGCCCGGUGCCGGAAGGUUAAUUGAUGGGGUUAGCGCAAGCGAAGCUCUUGAUCGAAGCCCCGGUAAACGGCGGCCGUAACUAUAACGGUCCUAAGGUAGCGAAAUUCCUUGUCGGGUAAGUUCCGACCUGCACGAAUGGCGUAAUGAUGGCCACGCUGUCUCCACCCGAGACUCAGUGAAAUUGAAAUCGCUGUGAAGAUGCAGUGUACCCGCGGCUAGACGGAAAGACCCCGUGAACCUUUACUACAGCUUGGCACUGAACAUUGAACCUACAUGUGUAGGAUAGGUGGGAGGCUAUGAAGACGUGACGCCAGUUGCGUUGGAGCCGUCCUUGAAAUACCACCCUUGUAUGUUUGAUGUUCUAACUUAGACCCAUUAUCUGGGUUGAGGACAGUGCCUGGUGGGUAGUUUGACUGGGGCGGUCUCCUCCCAAAGAGUAACGGAGGAGCACGAAGGUGGGCUAAUCACGGUUGGACAUCGUGAGGUUAGUGCAAUGGCAUAAGCCCGCUUAACUGCGAGAAUGACGGUUCGAGCAGGUGCGAAAGCAGGUCAUAGUGAUCCGGUGGUUCUGUAUGGAAGGGCCAUCGCUCAACGGAUAAAAGGUACUCCGGGGAUAACAGGCUGAUACCGCCCAAGAGUUCAUAUCGACGGCGGUGUUUGGCACCUCGAUGUCGGCUCAUCACAUCCUGGGGCUGAAGUCGGUCCCAAGGGUAUGGCUGUUCGCCAUUUAAAGUGGUACGCGAGCUGGGUUUAGAACGUCGUGAGACAGUUCGGUCCCUAUCUGCCGUGGGCGUUGGAAGAUUGAAGGGGGCUGCUCCUAGUACGAGAGGACCGGAGUGGACGAACCUCUGGUGUUCGGGUUGUGUCGCCAGACGCAUUGCCCGGUAGCUAAGUUCGGAAUUGAUAAGCGCUGAAAGCAUCUAAGCGCGAAGCGAGCCCUGAGAUGAGUCUUCCCUGACAGUUUAACUGUCCUAAAGGGUUGUUCGAGACUAGAACGUUGAUAGGCAGGGUGUGUAAGCGUUGUGAGGCGUUGAGCUAACCUGUACUAAUUGCCCGUGAGGCUUAACCAUACAACACCCAAGGGGUUUUGUA
rnacentral:rRNA from 1 species